GGGGGGGCGGGGCCAAAGGAGCCAAGAGCCGCCCGUGGCACCGGCAGCGGGAUUUGGGAACACUGAGGAGCUGUGCUCCUAGCCGGCUUUACUUGUCAUUAUUACAGCCCCCUGCUUGCUGGGAGACCUCUUAAGGACAUUAAAUGUUAAGCAGACAGAUGCUGCCCUUUGGCAACAGCACCAGCAUUAUCCUCUCCUACAAUCUGAACUGUUGCAGGGAAGUCUCUUCUUCCUAAAGCGCUGGGAAUUUUGCUGCCCAAAGCUCUACACAAACAAGGUAAGCAAAGAGGAUAAAAAGUCUAGUAUUCUCAGCUAAAUUAGAUCCAUAUCUAUCCAUAUGCUAGUUGCUUUUUCCAGAAUACUGAAAAAGCAUGACAUGCAGGCUUGAAAACUCCAUUCUGAUCAUCCAGUGCUGCCAUGAUAAGGAGCCAAAGACAAAUGUAGCACUGUUUGUGGCCACUUGGUGAGACAGGAUGGCCACUGCACACACAAACGUGUCCAUGUGUAUUUUACAGCACUCCCAAAGAUGAGCAGCUCCUCCGUUGCUUACCUGGCCCCAGGCAUAGAGGUUGUUGUGGGUCUGAGAAGGAUUCACUUUAGACAGGAGGAACCGGGCCUAUAAAGACAAAAAGAGGAGGAGUUUGGUAAAAUGAGAGACCUGUCUGCUCCCUCAGGCUUCAUCUCACCUGAGAUGCAUGGCCAGCAAUGUUCCUCUGCUUUUGCAAGGUACUGAGUUAACUUAAGCAGGUUUCAAGUCCAGAAAUCCCUGCUCCACAGACAGCUUGUCCCCAGGGGCACUGAGUAUCCUGCUACAGCAGGAUGUGCUCGCCUGGCAGGGCAGCUCUGAUUCCACGGGACAGGAACCCAUGGCACAGGAAACACCAGCACUGUUCUUCUCCCUAUGCCACAUCUGCUCCUCCAAAAAGGGCUCAGUGCCAGACCAGUGUAACAGGGUCACAGCAAAAAUCAACACCAAAUAUUUAGUUUGGAGCAUCAGUUCCUGCCUCUUCACUGCUACAAACAACUGCAGCACAUUGCAAUUCCAGGAAGAGUGAAAAUAAGAACAAUUUUAUAUCCUCAUUCAGCGUUUGAGAAUGAAGAUACACAUGGUCAAUCACUCAGCAUUGCUGUCCUAGCAAGCUAACUAUAGGUACAAAGCCAAAUCAUUUAUUUCCCACCUUUUUACUAGGGAAUAAAAACAUACUUAAGUUGGCUUUUCCAUUUUUUUUUCCACCCUCAAAUUUUAUAACCAUAUCCAGCAAGUGAUCAGUAUCUAUUAAAGACAGAGUUGUAGUAAAAAUUUAUAAGAAAAUAUGCAAGCUCUGUACUUUGAAGAGCUAAACUGUGUUUGACUACCAGAACCUUUCAAAAAAGCAGAAUGAGCCAUUUGCUCUAGGUAACAACAGAAAGAAUUCCUCCAGAAACUUCCUUACCUGACUGCCCCCGUGCUCAGUGUGGAUGUAACGUGGCAUUGGGAAUCUGGUCUGCAAGAUUUCCUGGGCAUCAUCCAGUGGGGCUUGCAGGAGGUGCUUAAAGUUUUCAUAUUCAGGCAUGUCCUGGUAUCCAGCUUUCUGCCACUGGGCAAUAGUCUGUUGAUGGGACAGGAAAAAAAAUUAAAAUGGAGCAGGGAUAUCUACAAGCCUCCCCUUUUUACCCUGCAUGUCUCAAAGCAGCAGAAUGCUGCAUGUGCUUCCACUUAGGGGCAAACACACACCUUCACCACUGUGCCUACAACAUUACUUUCUGUCCCCAAAUUUAAGCACAAGAACCCAACACAAAAGCUAGCAGCAAUUUGUGCAGUGCCAGAGCAGUUUGUUGAAAAUCUUCAAUAUGCUUCAGCCUGUGCCAACACAGAAGCAUUUAUAAAUCACUGACAUUUUGAAUCUGACUUGGCCUUACAGUAUUUUCAAGGUAUCCAUUGCAUGCACCAUAUGUCUGCAGCAAUUCCUCUAUAAGUACACAGGCCAGACACUCAGCUCUUCCCUUGUCUGGUUUUUACCCAGUUACUGAGUGUCCUGCUCUGCAACAGAAGACAGAAACUCCUUAAGGUAACUCCUGAAGAUUUUUAGAAAGUAUCUAAGCACUUCUCUCAGUCAUGAGAGGAAUAUAGCAUCAGCUUCCAAACCCAUCCAGUAUUUAAAAGCAAAAACUGGGAAACUGCCUAACUGAUUUCUUGAAGAGCCGCAGUACUUAAGUAUGAAAACCCUGCAACCAAAAUUCUGUCACUCCUCUGAAAAUACUUGCAACUCUGUCAAAAUAUGUAUCCUCUUGUCAACUCUGCCCUGCUUAAUUUACAGUUUCUCUGGCCUUUUCCAGGGAUGGUAAGGGACAACUUUCAUGGCCAAGCUACCACAACUGCUGCUACUCAGUGCAGAACAUAUCCUUAGUGGUUCCAGUAUUAUUUUUACUCUGACAGUGGUGGGAAUUGUAUUACAACAAGCAGCAUGUACAUGACAGGAUCAUUUUGCUGUGUGAGCUUUGCAAGAAGUUUGUUCAUAUUUCCUACUAGCAGCAAAGCUGUCUGCAUGCAUGGCAGGAGGGAAGGGGCACAAAGAGAGAAAGAGAAUGUGUUUCACCAUACCUCACCAAGGUAGAUAACUAUCUGGAAGAAAGUAUCCAUCAGCAGGAUUCUGUCAGGAAGAAUACUGCUGCUGUCCAAAAGCACUGGCUGGGGAAAAUAAAGAACAAAGUCAGGCACCCCUAUACCCUCAGAUCUCAGGAUGCCAGAGAGCAACUUCUAUGCCCAUCAAAGUGUAAUUUGAUAUAAUCUUGAAUAAAAGUAUAUUGUCUUUUAAUAAUUUUUUAAAAUCUACAUGGGCCUUUUGGCUAAAAUAGUGUUACUUCAACUGAACACUCAUUUUGAGUUGAUUGAGCUCUUCCUAGAAAACACAGACUCACCUCAGGAGGCCCAUGGAAAGAAUAAGCAUAAAGGAUGGGCUGGAUCAUAAUGAGGGACUGGGUCAGAUCCUGCCUGGCAAAGUGGUGCCGGUAAUAGGAAGACUCAUCUGGGCUGUUGUUGAAGACCUGCAGGAAUGGCGAGCGGCGUAGGUGGAAGAUGAACUGCACCACAAAGAGGAGUGACACAAGAAAUGUCAGCCAAAGUUGCCAAGGCAUCUGGAACCAAUUCCAGUAUUUUUGAACAGCAAAUUCUUUGGGAAAAGUGUGCCCCUUAAUAACUCCCCAGAUUUCUUCUCUUUUUGGUCUCUUGCAGUGCUGAACUACAGGACCAGUCCAUUACAUUAAAAAAGCACCUGUUCCUCCCCUCCUGAAUCUGAUAAAUAGUGCAAGAUGUUUUAUCAUCAUUCCCACUCACCCCUGCACACUUUUCCCAUGGCUGUGGGAAGUGACAUUCUUACCUGAGGAUACAAAGAAAAUGAUUCUGACAGCCUAAAGGAGUUGGGAUCAUCUUUGUUGUAUUGUCCAAAUUUCUGACACUGUUGGAAGUAAAAUGGGUACUUUAAUUAUCUCUUUUUUCUAUUUUUUCCUUUUUUAAUAGAAUUUACAUCUCUUUUUCUACAGAGUGUUCUUCUGCUAAUUUUUAAACAAUCAAGGCAUGAACCUAACAAGAACAAAUACUACAGCAUUUACAGGUUAUUUUUCUUUAAAUCAGUGUUUUUCUGGAAUGAGAAUGAAGAUUUAAUAUUUUUUUUUCCAUAAAGUCUAGAUUUGAAAUUAUCAAAGAAUGAAAGAAAUGGUGCCUCUACAGCACUACCCUUUUUUUUUCCUUUCAUUCAGGGCUAUUACACCUAAACUGUUCUGUACCCUAUAGAACACUUCUUACAGAAUAGCAGAUCAGUAUUUCACUCUUUCACUGAAACUAAGUAUCAGUGGUUUUAGAAAUUAAACUGUAAAUGAUCCCACAGUCACUGCAGCAAACAGUUUGCUCCUGUUUGUGCUUGUGCUCCAAUCUCUAUUUGACUGGCCCUGGUUUUUUAGAGUCUGAUGUGCCAUAUUGUGUUAGUACCAACCCCACAUGGGUGUUUGGACAA